rnacentral:lncRNA from 1 species
AUAGGGGUUGGGUCUGUCUAGGACAACUGUACCUGAAAUGGAAAGACCAUCUUGAUGCAUCCUAUGUGCUACAUGUUGCAUUUAUUCAAGGGUAUAAGGGUCAUGUGGCAGACCAAUGAUAGUUGAGGGCAAAUGAAAAAAAGAAAUGAAAAAAAAGAAGAAAAAGAGAGGGCUGAAGCUACACAGAAUAUUAGGAAAU